GGCUCCGUAGCCAAGUGGCUAAGGCAACGGAUUGCAAAUCCGUCAUCGUCGGUUCGACUCCGACCGGAGCCU
rnacentral:tRNA from 1 species